rnacentral:rRNA from 1 species
AGCGAACGCUGGCGGCAGGCCUAACACAUGCAAGUCGAACGAACCUUUCGGGGUUAGUGGCGGACGGGUGAGUAACACGUGGGAACGUGCCUUUAGGUUCGGAAUAACUCAGGGAAACUUGUGCUAAUACCGAAUGUGCCCUUCGGGGGAAAGAUUAAUCGCCUUUAGAGCGGCCCGCGUCUGAUUAGCUAGUUGGUUGAGGUAAUGGCUCACCAAGGCGACGAUCAGUAGCUGGUCUGAGAGGAUGAUCAGCCACAUUGGGACUGAGACACGGCCCAAACUCCUACGGGAGGCAGCAGUGGGGAAUCUUGCGCAAUGGGCGAAAGCCUGACGCAGCCAUGCCGCGUGAAUGAUGAAGGUCUUAGGAUUGUAAAAUUCUUUCACCGGGGACGAUAAUGACGGUACACGGAGAAGAAGCCCCGGCUAACUUCGUG